rnacentral:rRNA from 1 species
ACCAGUACCGUGAGGGAAAGGUGAAAAGCACCUCUCGCAGAGGAGUGAAACAGUACCUGAAACCAUGCGCCUACAAGCGGUCGGAGCACACUUUUAGUGUGUGACGGCGUGCCUUUUGCAUAAUGAGCCUACGAGUUGCCGUCACCGGCGAGGCUAAGCGCAAGUAUGCGCGGAGCCGAAGCGAAAGCGAGUCUGAAGAGGGCGCAGAGUCCGUGGCGGCAGACGCGAAACCGGGUGAUCUACCCAUGUCCAGGCUGAAGUCCCGGUAACACGGGAUGGAGGGCCGAACCGAUAAGCGUUGAAAAGCUUCCGGAUGAGGUGUGGGUAGGAGUGAAAGGCCAAUCAAACCCGGAGAUAGCUCGUACUCCCCGAAAAGCAUUUAGGUGCUGCCUGCGGUGUUCCGCGCAGGAGGUAGAGCGACCGUUUGGAUGCGAGGGCUUCACCGCCUAUCAAGUCCUGCCGAACUCCGAAUGCCUGCGCGCCAAGCCGCGGAGAAAGGGGGCGGGUGCUAACGUCCGUUCCCGAGAGGAGAAGAAUCCAGACCACCGUCUAAGGCCCCGAAGUCGCAGCUGAGUUAGGCUAACGAAGUCUCUUUCCUAUGACAGCUAGGAUGUUGGCUUGGAAGCAGCCAUUCAUUCAAAGAGUGCGUAACAGCUCACUAGUCGAGGAAUCAGGCGUGGAUAAUAAUCGGGUAUAAGCUGCGCGCCGAAGCCGUGGGAUCCUUUAAAGGAUCGGUAGGGGAGCAUUCAUGUCCGCGUUGAAGGUUUGGCGUGAGCCAUUCUGGAGCGUCAUGAAAAGCAGAUGUAGGCAUAAGUAACGAUAAGGGGGGUGUGACUCCCCCCCGCCGUAAGACCAAGGUUUCCCGGGCGACGUCAAUCGUCCCGGGGUUAGUCGGACCCUAAGGCUAAGCCGAACGGCGACGCCGAUGGAAAGCCGGUGAACAUUCCGGCACUGGCCGUGAGUGCGACGCGGUGACGCGGCAGUGGCACCUCCGCGCCCUGACGGAAAAGGGCGUUGAAGGGUGUAGGUGUUGAUGCGGGCAGUGAAGCACACCCGCAGAGCCGAACCUAAUAGUACGCAAGGGACCCCGGUCCCGCGCGAGAGUGAGGGUAAUCAUGCCGCCGAGAAAACCCGCUAAGCUCCAGCUCACGGGCAUCCGUACCGUAAACGGACACACGUGGUCGGGUAGAGUAUACCAAGGCGCUCGGGUGACUCGCGGUUAAGGAACUAGGCAAACUGACCCCGUAACUUCGGGAGAAGGGGUCCUCCUGCAGCGAUGUCAGGAGGCGCAGAGAAACGGUCCAGGCAACUGUUUACCAAAAACACAGGGCUGUGCGAAGCAUGAAGGCCACGUAUACAGCCUGACACCUGCCCGGUGCCGGAAGGUUAAGAGGAGCGCUCAGACGCAAGUCGAAGGUGUGAAUUGAAGCCCCGGUAAACGGCGGCCGUAACUAUAACGGUCCUAAGGUAGCGAAAUUCCUUGUCGGGUAAGUUCCGACCUGCACGAAU